GCUCAAGGAAGGGGAGCGAUGCCGGGAGGGGACACAUAACAUUAUUGUUCUAUUUUCCACAUGAAGAAACCAAGGCCUAGCUGGCAGACAUGCUUUCUGAGUGGGCCUAGAGCAAUGGAUCAGUAAGUGGCUGGCAGAGAUGAGAGGGCUACCCUGGACGCUGCAGUCAGUCAAGACAUCUCUGAGGAGGUGGCCUGACUGGUGACAAGGAGGCACACACUGAGGUCUGCAAGAAGAGGAAGUCCCAGGUGGACGAGGGGAUCAGAUGAGGGAGGGACCCAGACCCAUCACUGCUCAGAAGCCCCCAGCAGCUCCUCACCGCACUCGGAACAAAGUCCAGUCUCCUCUGCAGCUCCCAGGGCCCUGUGUGAUCUGGCCCUGGCCGCCUCUCCAGCCGCACGUCCUCACCCACUACACGCCAGCCUCACAGGCGGGGCUGGUCCCCACCACAGGGCCUUUGCACACGCAGGUCUCUCUGCCUGAAACGCUGUCCCUCCUCUGUUGGUCUCAGUGCAAAUGUCGCCUCCUGAGAGAGCCCCUCCUUGACCACCGCAUCUAAAUGUCUAAAGAAAGCUCUCCCCCAACCCCCGCCUUCCCUCUCUCUCUGUUCUUUUCCUUCUGAACACUGAGCACACUGUGCGUAUGUGUGUGAGUAAAGUUAUAUAUACACAUA